rnacentral:misc_RNA from 1 species
GAUGAAAGAACGCAGCGAAAUGCGAUACGUAAUGUGAAUUGCAGAAUUCAGUGAAUCAUCGAGUCUUUGAACGCACAUUGCGCCCCCUGGUAUUCCGGGGGGCAUGCCUGUCCGAGCGUCAUUGCUGCCCUCAAGCACGGCUUGUGUGUUGGGCCUCCGUCCUCCUCCCGGGGGACGGGCCCGAAAGGCAGCGGCGGCACCGCGUCCGGUCCUCGAGCGUAUGGGGCUUCGUCACCCGCUCUUGUAGGCCCGGCCGGCGCUUGCCGACACAUCAAUCUUUUUUCCAGGUUGACCUCGGAUCAGGUAGGGAUACCCGCUGAACUUAAGCAUAUCAAUAGCGGAGGA